rnacentral:rRNA from 1 species
AUUGAACGCUGGCGGCACGCCUAACACAUGCAAGUCGAGCGGCAGCGAGACUAGUAGCAAUACUAGUUGUCGGCGAGCGGCGGACGGGUGGGUAACACGUAGGAAUCUGCCCUUAAGCGGGGGAUAACCAAGGGAAACUUUGGCUAAUACCGCAUAAUCUCGGGAGAGCAAAGCUGCCCGCAAGGGUGGCACUCGAGGAGGAGACUGCGUCCGAUUAGCUAGUUGGUGGGGUAAUGGCCUACCAAGGCGAUGAUCGGUAACUGGUCUGAGAGGACGACCAGUCACACUAGGACUGAGACACGGCCCAGACUCCUACGGGAGGCAGCAGUGGGGAAUAUUGGACAAUGGGGGCAACCCUGAUCCAGCGAUGCCGCGUGAGUGAAGAAGGCCUUCGGGUCGUAAAGCUCUUUAGGUUAGGAAGAAGGGUAUUGGCUGAAUAAUCCAGUACUUUGACGGUACCGACAGAAUAAGCACCGGCAAACUCUGUGCCAGCCGCCGCUGUAAUAC